rnacentral:rRNA from 1 species
GACACAGGUGCUGCAUGGCUGUCGUCAGCUCGUGCGUGAGAUGUUGGGUUAAGUCCCGUAACGAGCGCAACCCUUGUCCUUAGUUACCAGCACGUUAUGGUGGGCACUCUAAGGAGACUGCCGGUGACAAACCGGAGGAAGGUGGGGAUGACGUCAAGUCAUCAUGGCCCUUACGGCCUGGGCUACACACGUGCUACAAUGGUCGGUACAAAGGGUUGCCAAGCCGCGAGGUGAAGCUAACCCCAUAAAACCGAUCGUAGUCCGGAUCGCAGUCUGCAACUCGACUGCGUGAAGUCGGAAUCGCUAGUAAUCGUGAAUCAGAAUGUCACGGUGAAUACGUUCCCGGGCCUU